GAUGAACGCUGGCGGCGUGCCUAAUACAUGCAAGUCGAGCGAACGGACGAGAAGCUUGCUUCUCUGAUGUUAGCGGCGGACGGGUGAGUAACACGUGGAUAACCUACCUAUAAGACUGGGAUAACUUCGGGAAACCGGAGCUAAUACCGGAUAUUAUUUUGAACCGCAUGGUUCAAAAGUGAAAGACGGUCUUGCUGUCACUUAUAGAUGGAUCCGCGCUGCAUUAGCUAGUUGGUAAGGUAACGGCUUACCAAGGCAACGAUGCAUAGCUGACCUGAGAGGGUGAUCGGCCACACUGGAACUGAGACACGGUCCAGACUCCUACGGGAGGCAGCAGUAGGGAAUCUUCCGCAAUGGGCGAAAGCCUGACGGAGCAACGCCGCGUGAGUGAUGAAGGUCUUCGGAUCGUAAAACUCUGUUAUUAGGGAAGAACAUAUGUGUAAGUAACUGUGCACAUCUUGACGGUACCUAAUCAGAAAGCCACGGCUAACUACGUG
rnacentral:rRNA from 1 species